GACGAACCGUCCAAACGUUAUUCGGAAUCAUUGGGCUUAAAGGGGGCGUAGGCGGUGCGGUAAGUUGGGUGUGAAAUCCCCCGGCUCAACCGGGGAAUGGCGCCCAAAACUGUCGCACUCGAGGGAGACAGGGGUAAGCGGAACUGAUGGUGGAGCGGUGAAAUGCGUUGAUAUCAUCAGGAACACCAGUGGCGAAAGCGGCUUACUGGGUCUUUUCUGACGCUGAGGCACGAAAGCUAGGGGAGCAAACGGG
rnacentral:rRNA from 1 species